rnacentral:rRNA from 1 species
CCCUUAGAUGUUCUGGGCAGCACGCGCGCUACAAUGGUCUUCGCAAACGGAUGCAUUCUCGAAGGAGAAUGCCAAUCUUGGAAUCUAUGCCUUGGUCGGGACAGUUGCUUGCAAUUUUUCGACUCGAACCAGGAAUUCCUUGUAAUCGUGAUUCAUCAUAUCACGAUGAAUACGUCCCUGCCCUUUGUACACACCGCCCGUCGCUCCUACCGAUCGAAGAGUUAGGUGAAUUGUUUUGAUCGAUAAGAUUUGACUAUGGUCAACUCUCGUUGUGAAAUUCUGUGAAUCUGACUGUUUAGAGGAAGGAAAAGGCGUAACA